AUUGAACGCUGGCGGCAGGCUUAACACAUGCAAGUCGAGCGAGCGGCGGACGGGUGAGUAAUGUCUGGGAAACUGCCUGAUGGAGGGGGAUAACUACUGGAAACGGUAGCUAAUACCGCAUACCAUCAGAUGUGCCCAGAUGGGAUUAGCUAGUAGGGGGGGUAAUGGCUCACCUAGGCGACGAUCCCUAGCUGGUCUGAGAGGAUGACCAGCCACCCGUGUACUGAGACACGGUCCACACUCCUACGAGUGGCAGCAGUGUGGAAUAUUGCACAAUGGGCGCAAUCCUGCUGCAGCCAUGCCGCGUGUGUGAAGAAGGCCUUCGGGUUUUAAAGCACUUUCAGCGAUGAGGCGUUACUCGCAGAAGAAGCACCGGCUAACUCCGUGCCAGCAGCCGCGGUAAUAC
rnacentral:rRNA from 1 species